rnacentral:lncRNA from 1 species
CAUGCAAAGACAACUCUGUGUAAAUGUACAGUUGACUCUGAUGUGGAAAUCUGAAAAAUCAGUCCAUUCUUGUUAUAAAUUUUUUUACAAUUGUAAUUAUAUUGAUGUUCAUAUUGUGUAAAAUAACUCAUUUAAUAAAGUAGUGCUUUGAUUUUACAACACCGCAGGAUAAAUGGUUCUAGAAAUUCUGUUCUAACUUUCCUUAUUAUUUGCCUUAUAACAAUGAAUUGAUCAGCUAGUGUUGCAAGAGCAGUUCUCUCCCUUUCUCAGCUCAGUGGCAGGUUUGUUAAACCAGAGCAGACUCAUUCAUUAAAUCGUGCACUUGAUUCUAUUGGCAGCUGAUGCGGGUUAAAGAAUGGCUGAUCUGCUUCCGUGUAUUCACAGCUACACACCAUUCCCCACUUCUGAUCAUUUCCUGUGUGUCCAUCUGGGAGUCAUUGUAGAUGACAGAUUCAAUUCAUACAAUUGGUAGAGUUGCCAGUGAGCCCUUCUGGACAAUGUGUGAAGGAACAAAUGUGACCUAUAAAGGCCUGUGUCUUUGCAAAUUGUUCAAAUUCAUUUGAAAUUGAACUAUAAUUUUUGAAAGAUUUUUGAAAGUUAUCUAGCUAAUUUUAUGAGUGAAUUUUUACAUUUAACAAGAAGAAUAGAAUGAUUUGUUUCAGAUUAAUUCGCAGAACAUUCUUUGUCUUUCAAAUAAAACUCUAAUUUUAGAGCCUUAGUGCUGGCUCCUGAAAUCAAAGGCUGUCUAGUCUGACUUCCACCUGAACGAGCAGAACAUUGUAGGGUAAGGUAAAGUCUGCCAGUGAAGGAAGACUAACUAGUUCUGCUGGUGUAGGUUACAAGCAAGUCUGCCGGAACUCAGCUUAAGUUUAGACGGUGAUGUAAUGGGAAGAACAUUCCGUACUGACAGCUGCUUAGAGCUAUGGCCCUGACCUGUGGAUAACAAACGGAUCCCUCGUGAUGUAGCCUGGGCAGUUAGUGGACAGCUUAGCAUACUCUGACCACCUGGCUCGUGCAGCUGUGUUUGAAGGAAGGUGAUUCAAGGGCCAGUCUAGUGCUUGUAGUCUGCACAACAGCCCUGUCCCCAACCUCCCUCGCAGAAGUACAGUCCCUCUAUUUAAUUCCCUGCCUCUCACACUUGGUAUCCACUCUUGCUACAAUGUUGCUGACUAGAGUUAGUUACAAUGUUGCUGACUAGAGUUUUCUUGUGGAUCUUACAUUCUAGUUAAGUGGCAAUUUUAGAGCUUCUGAAAGUGCUUUAUGCAGAUGUACGGUUUCUUUUAGUGACAAACUGGUUAUUCAGAGCCUGAUCGCAAUUUUUGAUUUAAAUCUUCUUGUUUGUUUCACUGUUGUAAUUCAGAAUAGAACAUUUUCAGUCUUGUACUUAACUGUUUUCUGAGCAGCUGAAGACACCGUAUUUCACUCUGUAUCUCAGUGAUAGGGAGUAGGUGAUGGCUCUUCAUUCUGAGCGUGGGGAUUGCCAGCACGGUCCUACCCUGUGCUGCAGUUAAACCUGCUGUGAGGAGGAAACG